AUGGCUGUCGUCAGCUCGUGUCGUGAGAUGUUGGGUUAAGUCCCGCAACGAGCGCAACCCUCGCCCUUAGUUGCCAUCAUUAAGUUGGGCACUCUAAGGGGACUGCCGGUGAUAAGCCGCGAGGAAGGUGGGGAUGACGUCAAGUCCUCAUGGCCCUUACGGGCUGGGCUACACACGUGCUACAAUGGCGGUGACAGAGGGAGGCAAUGGAGCGAUCCUGCGCAAAUCUCAAAAAGCCGUCUCAGUUCGGAUUGUGCUCUGCAACUCGGGCACAUGAAGUUGGAAUCGCUAGUAAUCGCAGAUCAGCACGCUGCGGUGAAUACGUUCCCGGGCCUUGUACACACCGCCCGUCACACCAUGGGAGUUGGUUUUACCUGAAGACGGUGCGCUAACCGCAAGGGGGCAGCCGGCCACGGUAGGGUCAGCGACUGGGGUGAAGUCGUAACAAGGUAGCCGUAGGGGAACCUGCGGCUGGAUCACCUCCUUUCUAAGGAUAACCCUUCAGGGACCGCAUUUCGCGGGACUUAUCGGGUUUCUUGGAAACAUCAGGGCCGACGUUGUCAGGACGAUCGGUCCAUUGGCAGGACACCGCCGUCUACGUUUCUCUUUCUUCGCGGACGAGCCCAAUCAGGGAUCAGAAACCAGUGAUCAGUAAUCAGAUAUCGACCCGUUCGGUCGUGUCGCUGACGGCUGAAGACUGAUAGCUGACUCCUGGGCGAGGGCUUGUAGCUCAGCUGGUUAGAGCGCGCGCUUGAUAAGCGUGAGGUCGGAAGUUCAAAUCUUCCCAGGCCCACCAGCCUUCGCGGCUGCUUCAGCUUCGGCUGGACAGGCCGCUGAAUCAGCGAAAGCCGCCCGUUUUCGCUUCGGCGAAGGCGGGUUUGCCUUCGGGGCCAUAGCUCAGUUGGGAGAGCGCCUGCUUUGCAAGCAGGAGGUCGUCGGUUCGAUCCCGUCUGGCUCCACCAGUCGGGCUCAUUUGCUGGGUUCAUAUUCUCGUCCGCCGAGAAACAAGUUCGCGUCCUUCGGCUGUUGCCGGAUGGAUGCGGUUAUCUGACAUCGUGAAGAGGAGAUCGCUCCGGGCGUCGGGCGUGGUGCAAACCAUGCGUGACGCGCAACUCCGCGCACCAAUUGUGAUGCAAGUCACGGGCGGUGCGAGUCGGUGAUGCUUGACCGCGCACCGUCGGAACGAUCUUGAAGCAAGCUGGUCUUUCUACUUCAAAGUCCAAUCGUUGAAUUCGUUUCAGCGAGCCACGCCGAGUGGUGGGCAUUGAGAAUGAGAACGAUCAAGUGCCUUAAGGGCGUUCGGUGGAUGCCUUGGCGCUGAGAGGCGAUGAAGGACGUACUACGCUGCGAUAAGCCGUGGGGAGCUGCGAAGAAGCUUUGAUCCGCGGAUUUCCGAAUGGGGAAACCCGG
rnacentral:sRNA from 1 species